UACAGAGGGGGCAAGCGUUGUUCGGAAUUACUGGGCGUAAAGGGCGCGUAGGCGGCCUUCUAAGUCGAACGUGAAAUCCCCGGGCUCAACCCGGGAACUGCGUCCGAUACUGGAAGGCUUGAAUCCGGGAGAGGGAUGUGGAAUUCCAGGUGUAGCGGUGAAAUGCGUAGAUAUCGGAAGGAACACCAGUGGCGAAAGCGGCUUCCUGGUCCAGCACCGACGUUCAGGCACGAAAGCGUGGGGAGCAAACAGG
rnacentral:rRNA from 1 species